GUGAAAUAAAUCACAUACAAACACACACCCCUUUGUUUGAACGUGAACAUUUCUCCCAUCCCCUUUGUGAAAAAAACCGCCUCUCCAGAAAUGGAGUAGGCGGUUUU
rnacentral:sRNA from 1 species